AGAGUUUGAUCAUGGCUCAGGACGAACGCUGGCGGCGUGCUUAACACAUGCAAGUCGAACGGAAAGGUCUCUUCGGAGAUACUCGAGUGGCGAACGGGUGAGUAACACGUGGGCAAUCUGCCCUGCACUUCGGGAUAAGCCUGGGAAACUGGGUCUAAUACCGGAUAGGACCUCAAGACGCAUGUCUUCUGGUGGAAAGCUUUUGCGGUGUGGGAUGGGCCCGCGGCCUAUCAGCUAGUUGGUGGGGUGAUGGCCUACCAAGGCGACGACGGGUAGCCGGCCUGAGAGGGUGUCCGGCCACACUGGGACUGAGAUACGGCCCAGACUCCUACGGGAGGCAGCAGUGGGGAAUAUUGCACAAUGGGCGCAAGCCUGAUGCAGCGACGCCGCGUGGGGGAUGACGGCCUUCGGGUUGUAAACCUCUUUCAGCAGGGACGAAGCGCAAGUGACGGUACCUGCAGAAGAAGCACCGGCCAACUACGUGCCAGCAGCCGCGGUAAUACGUAGGGUGCGAGCGUUGUCCGGAAUUACUGGGCGUAAAGAGCUCGUAGGUGGUUUGUCGCGUUGUUCGUGAAAACCGGGGGCUUAACCCUCGGCGUGCGGGCGAUACGGGCAGACUAGAGUACUGCAGGGGAGACUGGAAUUCCUGGUGUAGCGGUGGAAUGCGCAGAUAUCAGGAGGAACACCGGUGGCGAAGGCGGGUCUCUGGGCAGUAACUGACGCUGAGGAGCGAAAGCGUGGGGAGCGAACAGGAUUAGAUACCCCAGUAGUCC
rnacentral:rRNA from 1 species